rnacentral:rRNA from 1 species
AACGAACGCUGGCGGCGUGCUUAACACAUGCAAGUCUAGGGGAAUUCGCUUUCGGGCGAUAGUACACUGGCGAACGGGUGAGUAACGCGUGAGAAACCUACCCCGGAGAUUGGGACAACACAGAGAAAUUUGUGCUAAUACCGGAUAAGCCCACGGGUUUAGUUAUUUGUGGGAAAAGACGGGGUAACCUGUCGCUUUGGGAUGGUCUCGCGUGUCAUUAGCUAGUUGGUAGGGUAACGGCCUACCAAGGCAACGAUGACUAGGCGGCCUGAGAGGGUGGCCGCCCACACUGGGACUGAGACACGGUCCAGACUCCUACGGGAGGCAGCAGUGGGGAAUUUUGCGCAAUGACCGAAAGGUUGACGCAGCAACGCCGCGUGUAUGAUGAAGGCUUUCGGGUCGUAAAGUACUUUCAGUGGGGAAGAACUGCAUAAUCAGUAACUGGGUUAUGAUUGACGGUACCCACAGAAGCAGCCCCGGCUAACUCCGUGCCAGCAGCCGCGGUAAUACGGAGGGGGCAAGCGUUGUUCGGAGUCACUGGGCGUAAAGAGCUCGUAGGCGGCAGUGUAAGUCGGGAGUUAAAGGCAACAGCUCAACUGUUGUAAGGCUUCUGAAACUACAUUGCUAGAGUGCCAGAGAGGUAUGCGGAAUUCCCUGUGUAGCGGUGAAAUGCGUAGAUAUAGGGAGGAACACCGGUUGCGAAGGCGGCAUACUGGCUGGUAACUGACGCUGAGGAGCGAAAGCGUGGGUAGCAAACA